CGGGGCCACCCGGCGGGGACGCGGGGGGGGGGGGGAGGCUGCCCAGGCCCCCCGAGGGCACCAGUCCCCGACAGCUCCCGGGCGCGCCGAGCGCGCGGGGCCCAGCAGAGCCGCAGGGGUUAAGGGCGGCGCAGCCAGAGCCGGAGCUGGAGCUGGAGCUGCCCUGCAGGAAACGAAAGUGAAGCAGCCGGAGCAGCCGCGACGCCACCGAGGGCAGGGACACGCGGCCACCAUGGCUUUCCAGGCGCCCAUCCUCAACCCAAGCAUCCCCUUCUCCGGCUACAUCUCCGGGGGCUUGUGCCCGGGGAAGAUGAUCGUCCUCCAAGGACAGGUCCUGCACAGGGUGAAGAGGUCUCGGUGAACGGGCAGCACCAGCUGCAGUUCCUGCACCGGCUGCCGCUGCAAACGGUGCAGACGCUCGAGGUCACCGGCGACGUCAACCUCACCUGCAUCAGCUUCGCCGGCCCGGCGCAGUCGGCGCAGUCGGUGCAGUCGGCGCAGUCGGCGCAGCUCCUGGGUGCCAACUUCCGCAGGGUAAGUGGGGACCCGUGAGCGUGCAAAUGCCUCCAGCAUUGGUGCCUAUGAGUGUGCAAA
rnacentral:lncRNA from 1 species